GUCGCUGUCAAUCCAGCGACCGGGCGUCGCGGCCCGCUAAUGCAAAAGGCGCUACAGCGCCCCACCACUACAAAUUGCAGGCGCUUUUUUU
rnacentral:sRNA from 1 species